GAACACAAAAUGGCGACACGUGGUUAGCAUUCGUCGCCAACGAGAAAUUGGGGUCGGCCCGAAAGCUCUAGAAUGCACCCCUCUUCCUCCCCGGGGCCUUCCACCUCCGCGAGUUUUAUGACUUAAAAAAGCCCACAGGCUGGUCUGAAGAGGAAGACAAACAUAAAGAUGAAGUGCUUAAUUCAAGGUCACACAAUGUCGGGGAUGGACCUCCAGAUUUCCUUACUGGUGAGACGUGGUCUUGUAACACAGUGGUUAAGAAUGUGACUUUGGAGCCAGCCUGCUAGGGGCUGAAUUCUGACUCAGCCAUUUACUAACUGUGUGACCUUAGGGAGGAGGACCUGGUUGAUAGAAGAAUUUAUCUCGUAGUCUUAACAUCCACUGUAAUUCCAAACUUUGAGGACGAUAGAGAUCAGUGGGCUUUGACUGCCCAGCAUGCAGUCUCCAUUCUUAGGUGGAGUCUCACUCUGUAGCCCAAGCUGGAGUGGCGUGAUCUCGACUCACUGCAACCUCCGCCUCCUGGGAUCAAGUGAUUCUCGUGCCUCAGCCUCCUGAGUAGCCGGGACUACAGGUCACAGAAUUUUCCACACUCCUUGACAGAGGUGCUUAACCCUUAUCCAUCAGCAUUCUCAGACAGCACCUCCGGUUAGGGACAGUAUCUGACCGUCCGACAUCCCUGCAGCCCCCAUGUGUCACACAGACUCAGCCUCAGGUAGAUGGUUUCCGUAGAUGGUGGCUUUCUUUGGACCCUUGACAUCAACCAGUUACUAUUUGGGCCACACAUAACAAAUAGAAGCAGAGCAAGCCCUGGAACUCCUGCCUGACAGUGACACGACGACAGAAACAUCUUACCAGUCAGAGGACCAUGAGAAAUAGAUUCAAGGAGCAUUCCACGUGCAAGUGAGUCUUGGCCCCAUCUGCCUUUGGAUUUUAGCCGUGAACUGGAAGGUAUUGGAAAGAAGACCCUCAGAAAUAGCUUAAUCAAAAUCCCUGCGUCUGAACCAAGUGCCUUAUUUCUCUGUGGGCCUCAAGCUUCGCUGACAUCUGUGGAGCACACUGUCCUAACAGGAGUGCUGUCUGAUUUCCCAACGCUCUGCAAAACAAACAGCCUGGAAGGGUGGCUGGUGGAAGGUGGUUUUUAGAGAGAGACUUGUAGAUAACAGGAAAGUGAAGGCUGUAAGGAAGGUUGUAAUUAAACAGCACAUGGAAACACAA
rnacentral:lncRNA from 1 species